UGUCGACAUUAUAGUUGUGCAGGCACUUUGUUGACUCUAGAGAACCUCAGGCCAAUCGGACGUCCCUGUGACUGCGACUUUGCAUUCGGAUGUCUGCCCUAUCAACUUUCGAUGCCACUUUCUGCGCCUACCAUGGUGACCAUGGUUAACAGGGAAUCAUGGUUGGAUUCCAGAGAGGGAACCUGAGAAACGGCUACCACAUCCAAGGAAGGCCGCAGGCGCACAAAUUAUCCACUCCCGAAGCGGGGAGGUAGUGACGACA